rnacentral:rRNA from 1 species
AGCAGAGCACUCCUACGGGAGGCAGCAGUGGGGAAUAUUGCGCGGGAAUGGGCGAAAGCCUGACGCAGCGACGCCGUGUGAGUGAUGAAGGCCCUCGGGUCGUAAAGCUCUGUCAGGGGGGACGAAACCUCCACGAGUUAAUAUCUCGUGGACUUGACGGUACCUCCAAAGGAAGCACCGGCUAACUCCGUGCCAGCAGCCGCGGUAAUACGGAGGGUGCGAGCGUUGUUCGGAAUUACUGGGCGUAAAGCGCGUGUAGGCGGCUUUUAAGUCUGGUGUGAAAUCCCGGGGCUCACCCCGGAAGUGCAUUGGAUACUGGAAAGCUAGAGUACCGGAGAGGAGGGUGGAAUUCCUGGUGUAGCGGAUGAAGCUGAGAUAUCAGGAGGAACACCGGUGGCGAAGGCGGCCCUCUGGACGGAUACUGACGCUGAGACGCGAAAGCGUGGGGAGCAAACAGGAUUAGAUACCCUGGUAG